CCUACGGGUGGCAGCAGUGAGGAAUAUUGGUCAAUGGACGAAAGCCUGAACCAGCCAAGUAGCGUGCAGGAUGACUGCCCUACGGGUCGUAAACCUCUUUUACACGGGAAUAACACCCUCCACUUGUGGAGUUCUGUAUGUACCAUAUGAAUAAGGACCGGCUAAUUCCGUGCCAGCAGCCGCGGUAAUACGGAGGACCCGAGCGUUAUCCGGAUUCAUUGGGCUUAAAGGGAGCGUAGGCGGGUGGUCAAGUCAGCUGUAAAAGCGUGCGGCUCAACCGUACAAUGGAGGUUGAAACGGGCGGUCUUAGGUACAGAAGGGGAGGGCGGAAUUGGGGGUGUGGCGGUGAA
rnacentral:rRNA from 1 species